UCCGGUUGAUCCUGCCAGAGGUUACUGCUAUCGGUGUUCGCCUAAGCCAUGCGAGUCAUAUGUAGCAAUACAUGGCGUACUGCUCAGUAACACGUGGAUAACCUGCCCUUGGGUCCGGCAUAACCCCGGGAAACUGGGGAUAAUUCCGGAUAACGCAUAUGUGCUGGAAUGCUUUAUGCGUCAAAUGGAUUCGUCCGCCCAAGGAUGGGUCUGCGGCCUAUCAGGUAGUAGUGGGUGUAAUGUACCUACUAGCCAGCGACGGGUACGGGUUGUGAGAGCAAGAGCCCGGAGAUGGAUUCUGAGACAUGAAUCCAGGCCCUACGGGGCGCAGCAGGCGCGAAAACUUUACAAUGCGGGAAACCGUGAUAAGGGGACACCGAGUGUCAGCAUCAUAUGCUGGCUGUCCAGGUGUGUAAAAUACACCUGUUAGCAAGGGCCGGGCAAGACCGGUGCCAGCCGCCGCGGUAACACCGGCGGCCCGAGUGGUGAUCGUGAUUAUUGGGUCUAAAGGGUCCGUAGCCGGUUUGGUCAGUCCUCCGGGAAAUCUGAUAGCUCAACUAUUAGGCUAUCGGGGGAUACUACCAGGCUUGGAACCGGGAGAGGUAAGAGGUACUACAGGGGUAGGAGUGAAAUCUUGUAAUCCCUGUGGGACCACCUGUGGCGAAGGCGUCUUACCAGAACGGGUUCGACGGUGAGGGACGAAAGCUGGGGACACGAACCGGAUUAGAUACCCGGGUAGUCCCAGCCGUAAACGAUGCUCGCUAGGUGUCAGGCAUGGCGCGACCGUGUCUGGUGCCGCAGGGAAGCCGUGAAGCGAGCCACCUGGGAAGUACGGCCGCAAGGCUGAAACUUAAAGGAAUUGGCGGGGGAGCACAACAACGGGUGGAGCCUGCGGUUUAAUUGGACUCAACGCCGGACAACUCACCGGGGGCGACAGCAAUAUGUAGGCCAAGCUGAAGACUUUGCCUGAAUCGCUGAGAGGAGGUGCAUGGCCGUCGCCAGUUCGUACUGUGAAGCAUCCUGUUAAGUCAGGUAACGAGCGAGACCCA
rnacentral:rRNA from 1 species